rnacentral:sRNA from 1 species
UUGUUGUUUUGAGACAGUUUCUCUGUAUAGCUCUGGCUGUUCUCAAAGAUGUCUUUUCUUUUCUUUCUUUCAAACAACUUGUGACAGGUUAUCACAUACUCCAGGCUGGCCUUGAGCUGUUAAUGCUCCUGGUUUAACUUCCCAAAUGCUGUGUUUAUAAGUUUGUGACAUCAUACCCAGCUCUCAAGUUAGGAUAAACCCAGUUCAAAUCAGAUCUGAAAAUCUGGAUCCUCAAAGUGUAUGAAGCAUCAAAGUCAGAAGCAGCAGCCAAUUCCAUCCCGGCUUUGACAACCCAAGAGGAGAGGCAGCAUGCACAGGAGGUGGGGCUUUUCUGGGCCCUCCCAGGAAGGAAGGUGAGAGAGAUGGGAGGAGAGGAAAUGGCUCUUUUCAUUCACCUUAAUUUUACAAGUUAAGUAACUUUGCCUGAGCCCUGUCUUGUUAAGGAAAAUUGGACAUGCCGCUUGGAGAAACCUGUGCUACCCUGUGGCUUAAUUCCCCCAAACCACGUCUACUAUGUAGUUAACGAAACAGAUCUCAUCGUCAAACCUACCUCUUUGAAGCAAGUGUCGUAGCUGGGUAAUGCUAGAUUAUGUUUAUACAUUUGCUUGCUAAUUUGUUAAUUGAUAGCAUACACUAAAACACUAAAUUAAGGAGGAUUCCCCCCUUUGACUUUAACUGUGGGAAAAUCUUUUCAACAGAAAUUCUGACAGGAAAAGUGACCACAAGAAAAUCAGGUCCCCUCAGACACUGUAUAAUUUGAACAUUUCAGUUUGUCUCCUCUCCCUUCACACUACUCUCUGAUGUCUGGCUUUGUUAGAGAGCAUUUAUCAGACUCCUAAUAGUAAUCUAAGCAUACACCUCAUAUUUCAUCUUCAGUUUUAAGUAUUUGUUAAACUAUUACAUCCAGAACAUUUGAAAAUGAACUUUUCCAGUUUUUUUGUUAACUAUGUACCUGGGGGGCACGGGACAAAAAAACAAAACAAAACCAGCUCAAGAUCUCAUUUGUGCAUUGUGCUUCUCCUCACAGUCAUGUUUAACUCUGUCCUGGCCCGGUGCAUCCCAUUUGUCCUCACUAGCAAUUCAGCACUCGGCCACAGGUCUCUGCGCUCACCCUGGACUUUCAGCUCGCUGCGCACCAGCUAACCCGUCUCUCCACUCUCUUGGCAACCUGUGCUUUUAUGCGAAUGGCAGGUGAAAAUGUGAUUUGCACAUCUUAAAAAUCAGGAGAGCAAAGAGCAAAAAAGAGCAAUGCUUUUAAACUGCUGUCCACACUCAGUAUACUUUUAAAUAUAGAUGUUAACUAAAACCCUUUUCAGUAUUAAGAAGGGUGUUCAAAGUAAUUCACAUUAAAAGGCAUUCUAUUCGGUAGCUGUGUUUAUUGGUGGGUUAUUUUGCCAGUGUUUUAGUUCACACAUAACUGAUAGACCCUGUCAGUGACUGCGUUACCUGAAAGGUAGAAGCUGUUUCCAUUUGUAUGCUGUGAUUACUUUAUAGUCCUCAAAUCUUGCAUCUUUUACAGAAAAUGAUAUAGAAAGCAUAGUAACUGUAAUUUGCCACAACACAUUUUCUCCAAAUCUUAGUGUAAAACACAACACACUUUUGUGCACUCUACUUUUAUAGAACAACCAGAUUUAUAGUUGAUUUCUUUAUUUUAUUAGAUUUAUCAAUAUACAUGGCAGCUUUUUCAAAUUUCAGUUCCAAAGUAAUUUUAAAAAUGAAAAAUCAUUUUUCUUUAGAUGUCAUAUUCCUAAAGAGCUAUUAAAGUCUAUUUAUAAACAAAAUAAUUGAUAAACUAACACACUUUAGAAAUCAGAAUAUUUUUAAAUUAAAAUAUUUUAAUGAAUACAAGAUGUCUUUUUUAAUUAACUAUCAUAGUUAAAUUCAUUAUCACAAAACAAAAUGGCUUAUCCCCACUAAUUUCUCAAGUGAGGCAAAGUCAUUGGGAUUUACACUUAAUAUAAGUUUUAAAUGUGAUUAUUAAAUGAUAACAUUUUAUCAAUUAUAGGAAAUGUUCGUUUAUAGGAGUUUCCUUAGGUCCAUCAAUCUCAGGCCAAGAUUGAGCCCAUGUCAACCUUAAAGGUUAGAUUCAGUGCACCUCACUUGCCUAAUAAGUUUGUCAAUUUAAGAAUAUAGAUUUCAUUUAUAAGGGAGAAUAGUAGCCACCCCACUAUACAACUGACAAAAAGCCCCCCGCCAAACA